rnacentral:rRNA from 1 species
AACGGAAAGAGAUGAAAGAGCUUGCUCUUUUAUUAAUUUCAGUGGCAAACGGGUGAGUAACACGUAAACAACCUGCCUUAAGGAUGGGGAUAACAGACGGAAACGACUGCUAAUACCGAAUACGUUCUAAGCAUCGCAUGGUGCAUAGAAGAAAGGGUGGCCUCUACAAGAAAGCUAUCGCCUUAAGAGGGGUUUGCGACUGAUUAGGUAGUUGGUGAGGUAACGGCUCACCAAGCCGACGAUCAGUAGCCGGUCUGAGAGGAUGAACGGCCACACUGGAACUGAGACACGGUCCAGACUCCUACGGGAGGCAGCAGUGGGGAAUCUUCCGCAAUGGACGAAAGUCUGACGGAGCAACGCCGCGUGAACGAAGAAGGUCUUCGGAUUGUAAAGUUCUGUGAUUCGGGACGAAAGGGUUUGUGGUGAAUAAUCAUAGACAUUGACGGUACCGAAAAAGCAAGCCACGGCUAACUACGUGCCAGCAGCCGCGGUAAUACGUAGGUGGCAAGCGUUGUCCGGAAUUAUUGGGCGUAAAGCGCGCGCAGGCGGUUUCUUAAGUCCAUCUUAAAAGCGUGGGGCUCAACCCCAUGAGGGGAUGGAAACUGGGAAGCUGGAGUAUCGGAGAGGAAAGUGGAAUUCCUAGUGUAGCGGUGAAAUGCGUAGAGAUUAGGAAGAACACCGGUGGCGAAGGCGACUUUCUAGACGAAAACUGACGCUGAGGCGCGAA